GGGUGACUAGUGAGAGUGAGGAAGGGGGUGACACAGUGACAGAGUGAGGAAGGGGGUGACACAGUGACAGAGUGAAGGAGGUGGUGACUGUCACUAGUCACCCCAUCCCGCCCUCUGUCACUAAUCACCACCUCCCUCACUCUGUCACUAGUCACCCCCUCCCUCUCUCUGUCACUAGUCACCCCCUCCCUCACUCUAUCACUAGUCACACC